GAUGAACGCUGGCGGCGUGCCUAAUACAUGCAAGUCGAGGAAAGCGGCGGACGGGUGAGUAACACGUGAGUAACCUGCCCUUUUCUUUAGGAUAAGCCUGGGAACCUGGGUCUAAUACUGGAUGGUUUGGGAUGGGCUCGCGGCUUAUCAGCUUGUUGGUGGGGUGAUGGCUUACCAAGGCGUUGACGGGUAGCCGGCCUGAGAGGGGGGGCGGUCAAGAUGGGACAGAGAUACGGCCCGGAGUCCUACGGGAGGCAGCAGUGUGGGAUGUAGCACAAUGAACGAAAGUCUGAUGCGGCGACUUCGUGUGGUAGAUGAAGGCCUUCGGGUUGUAAACUCCUUUCGCGCGAGGAAUGGUAGUGGAUAGAGAGGCGCCGGCUAGCUACAUGCCAGCCGCCGCGGUAAAAC
rnacentral:rRNA from 1 species